ensembl:lncRNA
CAAAUUAGCACUUUGCAUGAUAAAAAUCACACUAGAAGCAACUAAAGUAGAAAAGAGCAUAUUUACUUACAGUUACCAUCUAUAGUUACAGUCAGAAGAAUAAAAAAGAGGAAAAUUUGAGUUUCCAGCAUGUGGAAACCUUCCAUUAUUGUUGCUUGUUCAGAGGUCAGAGAAGGAAGAAAGCCAUCAACAACAAAGACAAUGGAAACAACCAAUCAGGAGCCACAGAUUAUCUGACAGCUUUGUGGUCUGUUAGAGUUCACAUUAUGAUGUCACUGUGGGUAGGCAAGCGAGAUGGAGAGGAGAUAGUGUUGUGACUAAAGGGACUUUUUUCAAACCUACAGUGCAGGUGAAGGAAAGCUUUUGACACCACAAGAAAUAUUUAAGAAUAUUUCUCACAUUAGACGGAAUGCACGUUUGAACUUUUAAAUACAAGAAUUAAAUCCCCAGAAACUUCAAAACUAGCAAGUCAAGGAAAAAAAAAACUGGCUGGAUUUUGUUAAAUGAAGCUCAGCUUUGAAAUCAUCAGCUUUACUUAUUUGAAAAGAGGAGUCUGAGAUUUGUAAGGCAAGAGUCUAGGUCCGAAUUAAUAAGCAUAAUUAGAAAAGAUUAAACGUAUCAGAGGAAGAGAAGAGCAUCUGUUGCCAGCAGGAUAAUGUCAGGGCUUUACAUAAUGCAAAUGAGAUUUUCGAGGAAGAGCUAAUGUCAUGUACUCUCAACAAAAGCAAAAAAAAAAAAAAAAAAAAAAAAAAAAAAAAAGAAUGAUUUUGUGCACAGAUGAAGGAACUUUAUGCACUUUAACACAACUGGAAUCCUGCAAAAUGAUCAUAAAUGGCUCCCGAAGUGGAUUUCUAAGGAGCAGAAGCACUAAAUGGGUUGUUUGUGACUUUUAAAGCAAUGAGCCAAUUGUUUGGCAUUUGCUUUCCAAAUGCGUUGUCACUUGAAGGAAAAGGCACUAACUGAGCACAGAGAGAAUUUCUGCCUAAUUUGGAGACUUUGACACAGGGGAAAAAUCCCCUGAAUAUAUUGUCACCAAUGGAUGUUAUGAGGUUUGAACAUUCCUCAGCAUUCUGAACCAAGGUGCGGUACUUAGUUGAGCGAACCUAAAUUAAUAAUGAUGAAUUUCAUAAGUGAUUUUUGCUCCUUUGUAACUAAAUGCUUCUCUCUCUGUCAACCAUCAUCUUCAAUACUGAAUUUUUUCUACCAGGAAAUUUUUAGAAUACAGUGGUGCCUCAUUUAGCGACGUUAAUCCGUGCAGGAAAAAACAUCGCUAAACGAUUUAAUCAGUAAGCGAUUUUAAAAAGCCCAUAGGAACACAUUAAAAUGUGUUUAAUGCAUUCCUAUGGGCUAAAAACUUACCUGUAAGUGAAAAUCCUCCAUAGCGGAAGCCAUUUUGGGUGCCUCUAAAGCGAGGCAAAACAGCGGUCGCCAUUUUGUUUUUCCAGCGGCCAUUUUGGAACCACCGAUCAGCUGUUUAAAAAUGGGCACUUUGCCAUGAUCGCGUCCCCGCGGGGCCAUCGCUAAGCAAUCGCUCUGGCAAUGGCAAAAAGUCCAUCGCUAAGCGAUUUCGCCGUAAAAUGGAGCGAUUGCUACGCGAGGCACCACUGUACUUAAAUGAGCAUUUGGAGAUGACAGUUUUCACCCUCAGGCUCCUAAACUUCAGAACAAGUGCAUCAGGGAGGAUUUAACUCAGAUUCACAUUUUCCAACAACAAAGUUUGUCCAACUCCAUAUAGGAUUGCAAUUUUUAAAAAGAUAGUAUGAAAUUUUGCUUAUAUUUGCUUUCUCUCCCAAUAAACAUUUUACUACAGUGUAUAGUUU